rnacentral:rRNA from 1 species
CAGGCUUAACACAUGCAAGUCGAGGGGCAGCAUGGUCUUAGCUUGCUAAGGCCGAUGGCGACCGGCGCACGGGUGAGUAACGCGUAUCCAACCUGCCUUACACUCUUGGACAGCCUUCUGAAAGGGAGAUUAAUACAAGGUGUUAUCAUGAGUAAGCAUUUUCGCAUGAUUAAAGGUUUACCGGUGUAAGAUGGGGAUGCGUUCCAUUAGAUAGUAGGCGGGGUAACGGCCCACCUAGUCUUCGAUGGAUAGGGGUUCUGAGAGGAAGGUCCCCCACAUUGGAACUGAGACACGGUCCAAACUCCUACGGGAGGCAGCAGUGAGGAAUAUUGGUCAAUGGACGAGAGUCUGAACCAGCCAAGUAGCGUGAAGGAUGAAGGUUCUAUGGAUUGUAAACUUCUUUUAUACGGGAAUAAACGGAUCCACGUGUGGAUUUUUGCAUGUACCGUAUGAAUAAGGAUCGGCUAACUCCGUGCCAGCAGCCGCGGUAAUACGGAGGAUCCGAGCGUUAUCCGGAUUUAUUGGGUUUAAAGGGAGCGUAGAUGGGUUGUUAAGUCAGUUGUGAAAGUUUGCGGCUCAACCGUAAAAUUGCAAUUGAUACUGGCAGUCUUGAGUACAGUUGAGGUAGGCGGAAUUCGUGGUGUAGCGGUGAAAUGCUUAGAUAUCACGAAGAACUCCGAUUGCGAAGGCAGCUUACUAACCUGUAACUGACAUUGAUGCUCGAAAGUGUGGGUAUCAAACAGGAUUAGAUACCCUGGUAGUCCACACGGUAAACGAUGAAUACUCGCUGUAGGCGAUAUACAGUCUGCGGCCAAGCGAAAGCAUUAAGUAUUCCACCUGGGGAGUACGCCGGCAACGGUGAAACUCAAAGGAAUUGACGGGGGCCCGCACAAGCGGAGGAACAUGUGGUUUAAUUCGAUGAUACGCGAGGAACCUUACCCGGGCUUAAAUUGCAACCGAAUAUGGCGGAAACGCUAUAGCUAGCAAUAGCGGUUGUGAAGGUGCUGCAUGGUUGUCGUCAGCUCGUGCCGUGAGGUGUCGGCUUAAGUGCCAUAACGAGCGCAACCCUUGCCGAUAGUUACUAACAGGUUAUGCUGAGGACUCUGUCGGGACUGCCAUCGUAAGAUGUGAGGAAGGUGGGGAUGACGUCAAAUCAGCACGGCCCUUACGUCCGGGGCUACACACGUGUUACAAUGGGGGGUACAGAGGGCUGCUACCACGCAAGUGGAUGCCAAUCCCAAAAACCUCUCUCAGUUCGGAUUGAAGUCUGCAACCCGACUUCAUGAAGCUGGAUUCGCUAGUAAUCGCGCAUCAGCCACGGCGCGGUGAAUACGUUCCCGGGCCUUGUACACACCGCCCGUCAAGCCAUGGGAGCCGGGGGUACCUGAAGUGCGUAACCGCAAGGAGCGCCCUAGGGUAAAACUGGUGACUGGGGCUAAG